rnacentral:rRNA from 1 species
GACAGAGGGUGCAAGCGUUGUUCGGAAUUACUGGGCGUAAAGCGCAUGUAGGCGGUGAAGCAUGUCAAGUGUGAAAUCCCAUGGCUCAACCAUGGAAGAGCACUCGAAACUGCUUUGCUAGAGUGUGGAAGAGGAAGGUGGAAUUCCUGGUGUAGAGGUGAAAUUCGUAGAUAUCAGGAGGAACACCCGUGGCGAAGGCGGCCUUCUGGUCCAUUACUGACGCUGAGAUGCGAAAGCGUGGGGAG